UUCUUCACUACCAGAAUUGUAAAAAAUGAAUAUUGAACACGACUAGAAGUUGUCCAAAGUUAUUAGGUAGAGCAUCAAACACGAUCACUCAAGUCUAAUGACAUGGGGAUUAGGUGGGAUUGUUCUUUUAAAUUACCAUUUUUUUAUUUUUGGAUAAUCUUUAUUUUAGUGAUUUCAAUCAGAAAAGUCAGAUUUUAUCACUCAUGUCUAAUGACAUGGGGAUUGGGUGGGAUUGUUCUUUUAAAUUACCAUUUUUUUUUUUGGAUAAUCUUUAUUUUAGUGAUUUCAAUCAGAAAAGUCAGAUUUUAUUUUUUUAUCAAAUAAGUGGAUUGAUAUGGAAGAAGGUACAAGUGACGCGGGAAUGAUAAAGAUGAGCCACUAACAGUUUACUUGUGCAAACGUCUGUCCGACGAGUAUGAGCAUAACUUCCCAAGUCCAAAAUUACAGUAACGGAGUUACUAAUUCCCUGGCACUCCAUGAAACAAGAAAAUUGAUCUGUUGAUCAGGGAGGCUUCUAAUUUGACGAGUAUCAACAUUUAUGGUAAGGCAUACCACUGUCAUCACUCGAUUAACAAUGUUUUUCAAUGAGCCACAGCACAAUCACGACUGCCAAAGUUAAUCCCAAAUAUGAUCCCCUCUCUAUACUCGGAUUGGGGUACACAACCAUCAAACAACCAUGAUGCUAAUUCUGAUUUCAGACUCCUCAACGGUAGAGAUCGGAGCUGCUACUACCACUCUCUCUCUCUCUCUCUCUCAGCUGACCCAAUAUAGCGAGCAGAAGCCGGAGCCAAGCAAAUAUGGCUGCACUCCAGUCACAUUCUCUCUCUGACUGAGACGCAGCUGUGAGAAACGCCAACGGUCUUCGGCCGGGAGAGAAACUCACUCUCUCUCUCUCUGUGCUAUUUUAUUUAUUUUUCUAAGCGCGUGGAAAGUUUUAAGCCUGAUGAAUGGUGAAGAUUUAGGCCUUUAGCUCUUCCAGAGUCUCCCUUGUGGUGCAACGUGUAGAGCUGGUUGGAAUAAAUUUUCAUAACUUGUGAUCACACCCAUCUAACCUUUUUUUUUCAUGACUUGUGCGUAGACUUGUGAGGCAAAUGCUGAGGAAAGAGACUAAAAGCAUUUCAUAUUUACACCCUAAGAGAGGCUUGCUGAAUCAUUCAUAUUAAUCAAUCCAGAAAACAAAAAAAGAAAAAGCUGCAGAUCAGCAGACUCCUCCAACAUGGCUGAAGCUGUCGUUUCAAUGGUGAUCCAUGGGCUCAGGCCGCUCGGAAGCUUGAUGAUUCAGCAAGCAAUGUUCUUCAAAGGAGUCGGCGAUAAAGUUGAGAUUGCACAAACCGAGCUACUCUUGAUGCAAGGCUUCCUGAAAGAUGCAGAUGCACGACAAGAAAAUGAAGAAGUGGUACGCUUAUGGGUUAAUAUUAUUAGAGAAGCUGCUUACGAUUUGGAGGAUGCCAUUGAAUCUUUUGUGUUGAAAGUAGCUUUGAAGAGGGAAGCAAGUGUGAAGGUAGUUCUCAAAAGGUUUGCUUGUUUCUUGUGCAAAGGAUUGGAUCGUUACAAGAUCGGAUUGGAAAUCGAGAGCAUUACUACCAAGCUUUCUAAGCUCAGAUCGGAUAUGCAAAGCUAUGACAUAAAGCAAGAAAAGGGGAAUGAAGGUGCUGCUACUUCAAUGAGGCAGCGAGAACGCAGGCUAACCUAUCCUCAUGUUAUUGAUCAUGAUGUUGUUGGGUUAGGGGAUGACACAGAGAUGUUAGCUACAAAUUUGGUGGAAGAAAAAGGCCCUCAAGUGGUAACUAUUUGGGGCAUGGGCGGCUCGGGAAAGACCACUCUUGCAAAACAAAUUUACAAUCAUACGAAAGUCAAGUCUCAUUUUGAUUGUUUUGCUUGGGUGUGUAUAUCUCAACAAUGUGACGGUACAGCAGUUAUGAAAGAAAUUUUCAUUAAACUUAGCGGUGUGUCCGAUGAGCGAAGACAAGGAAUUGCAAGUCUGAGUAAUGAUGAAGUAGCAGAGAGGCUGUGCAAUUUCCAACGACACAGAAAAUGUUUGGUGGUCAUCGAUGAUAUUUGGACUUUUGAUGCAUGGAAAUCUUUUAAAGGUGGAUUUUCAGUGAAUGAGGAAACUGAGAGCCGCAUAUUACUGACCACUCGCAACAGAGAAGUAGCUUCACUUGCAAGGGGAAAUAGCUUACUCUACGAAUCUCAGGCACUAAGUGCAGAUGAAAGCUGGAAUUUGUUUCGGAAGAUAGCAUUCUUUGAAAUGGAUGAUACAAACUCUCAAAUUUAUUCAAAGAAAGAAGAACUGGGAAAGAAUAUGCUUCAACAUUGUGCAGGUUUGCCAUUAGCUAUUAUCGUGCUCGCAGGACUACUAGCUAGAAAAGACACAAUUGAUGAGUGGGAAACUGUGCAUAAGAAUGUUAAUGUAUAUAUAAGGAGAGGCACAGACCUUGAACGAGAAUACCAAGGUAAAAAAUAUGAAGGUGCUUCAUGGGUCUUGGCACUCAGUUAUGACAACUUACCAUAUCGCUUAAAGCUAUGCUUUUUGUACUUGGCAAAUUUCCCUGAAGACUAUGAGAUACGGGUGAAAAGACUGACUCAGUUAUGGAUGACUGAAGGUUUGAUAUCCACGACAUCAACAGAAAUGAUGGAAGAUGUAUCAUAUAGUUGCUUGAGUGAAUUGGUGGAAAGGUGUAUGGUUCAAGUUGUGGACAUUGGUUUAUCUGGGAAAAUUAAAACUUGUCGUCUUCAUGAUCUUAUGCGAGACUUAAGCUUGUUAAAAGCCGAAGAGGAGAACUUUUUACAUGUUGUCAAUUUUUAUACAGGGACGAGAAACAACACAACACAAGUCGGUAGAGUUCGAAGAGUGGCAAUGUAUGUGAACAGCACAGUUGAUCAAUUAGUUCCCACUACAAGAGGUGCUCCCCUGAGGUCACUCUUAUACUUCGGCCCACAACGCUAUCUUCGAAUCUGGAAUAUUAAAAAAGUCAUCCGGUCUGUAUUCAAUGACUUCAAAUUACUUAGAGUCUUGAAGUUGGAAGAUAUGGAAGGACUCAAAGAGUUACCGAGCACAAUUGGGAAUCUGGUCCACUUGCGGUUUUUAAGUCUAAAGAAUACUGGAGUACAAAACUUGCCAUCAUCUGUAGCCAACUUGGUGUGUUUGCAGACUUUAGAUUUACGUACUGAUAGAUUAAAGAAAAUCCCGAAUGUGUUUAAGAAGAUGGAACAAUUGAGGCAUUUAUAUCUGCCCCGGUUUCACAAGGUGCGUGGGGAGCUCUCAUUGGCUACAGCUUGCAACUUGCAGACGUUAGUCAAUGUUGAAUGUAGAAACUGUGAUUUUAAUGCCCUGGUUGAAUUAUACAAUCUUCGGAAACUAUCCAUCCAGGAUUGGGCAGGAUCAGAACUCUGGAAAAAACUGGAGGGAUUCUUGAGAUGGAGAAGUAGUCCCACAUUCCACCAUCUUCGUUCUCUAUCUCUGAAACUGUGGGGUCAUGAUUCAUUAACGGGUUUAUCGGGGUUUCAUUUUAUAUACAAGCUGCGACUGGUGGGGUCCUCAAUCAAGGAGUUACCAGAGAACCUCCUGUCCUUUCCAAACCUCAUCAAGAUAAAGCUGUAUUCUACUCAACUGAAGGGGGACCAGGUAGAAAUACUUGAGAAGCUGCCACACUUGAGAGUGCUUUACCUUCAACGUCGAGUUUUCUCCAGCCUUCCUUCAAACACACUGGUGUGCAGCAAUCGAGGAUUUCGCAAUCUUGAAUUUCUUUCCCUCCGAGGGUUGCCAGAAAUGAAAGAGUGGAGGGUGGAGGAAGGAGCCAUGCCUCGUCUCAGCAGAUUGUGCAUUGAAGACUGCGAGCAAUUGAGGGCAGUUCCAGAUGGGCUUCAAUAUGUUGCUACCCUCAAGGAGUUAACAGUCAAGGCGAUGCCAAGUGAAUUCUGUAGUAGGCUUGGGGAAGACGGGGAGGAUUUCCACAAAAUCAAACAGUGCCUUCUCUUAUCAUAACACCAACUGGAUGGAGAGUUUUCCAUUCAGUCCAUUCAGUUCGUGUUAUGACAAGCUGAGGAAAUAUGGUAUAUGUGAUCGAUUAAUUGACAGUUCGAUUAAAGCCUGGGCCUUGUUUCCGAGGAGAUCGCCGAUACAGUUAUGGCGCAGUUUCUAGGGUUGCUGAGGAGGACGCACUUGCUCUCGCGCCAAACGCUUUCGGCUUCCGGGUGGCUUGGUUCGGUUCAGCCGCUUUGCCGUGGGAUGAGGCGGUGCCGGGGCUUGGUUUUGGGGAUUGUUGGUAGAUCUGCGGCGGCCAGGUCUCUGGCUACUUGGCCUUCAAGAUAUCAGUGUGCUGUAUUUUGAUGUAGAGGAACCAUAUCCAAGCACCUCUUGAGUAUACAAGUUCGGGUUAUUGCUCGGUCGGUCGCACUCUGCAAUUUCGGCUUAUCUUUUUAUCCCUCUUGCCUUGCUGCGAAAAGGUUUCUGCAGUAGCUUGAAGCUCUGGAGUGAUCCCUAUAGGAAAAUUCUUUUGGUGGUAUCUAAAUCCACAAGACUACAAGAAUAUGGCAACAGGCAUUGGAUUGAGAUACUACAACUACGAACAGUUAGGAGUUUUGGAGUUUUGAGUAUUGAAUUUGUCUUUGAGAACAACAAGCUUCUACAGUCCAUUUAUAAGUGAUAGAUUAUAAUAUUUAGAGACCUGAGAAACAAGAACCCAUCUCUAACACAAGACACAAUUCCACAAGUGAUAGAGUAGACAAAAGAAACUGCCUUGCAGUACAGCUCUCUUCUUUCAAUAUCAUUGCUAUUGUUGUUGCUGUAGUGAAAGGUUGGAGUACUGGGAGUGGUGAUUAGCUAGGCUGUGACUUGAGCAAAUUAAGGUCGUAGCAAAAAAAUGACAAGACUUGUGGAUAUUUCAUUAUGCGUUACAUGAAAGAAAUUGUGGAGGACAAGAACUUGGAUUUUAGUGUUAAGUGGGGAACGAGGUCAAAUUUGGUUUACACAGACAAGGAUAUUGAUGAAAUCCGAGCGGAAUUGGCUAAGCAUUUUUGAAGUUCCCAGAAAAUUAAGUAUCAGCCUAUAUAUCUGCUUUUGUUUGUGAUAGCUUGAUAACUUGCAGUAGUAGUGUCUAGGAACUGCUUUUGUGCAUUUUGACAGAACUGAUGGAAAGUGUUGAACAAUAUAAUGCAUGCAAUUGCUGUAACUACUAGAUGGAUGCUACUAGGUUUUUGUCUUAGUUAGAUUAGGAUCCAUGCAACAAUGGCAGGGGUUAAUGUAAAGGCUAGCAUGCUAGCUAGUUUAAUUAGUAUUAUGCUACUGAUGGGAAUGUAUUUUGGUGUGUUAAUUGAUGCAAUGAGGAAUUUGCAGA